rnacentral:rRNA from 1 species
GUCCACGCCGUAAACGAUGAUUACUGGUUGUGUGCGAUAUACAGUGCGCGACUGAGGGAAACCAUUAAGUAAUCCACCUGGGGGAGUACGUUCGCAAGAAUGAAACUCAAAGGAAUUGACGGGGGCCCGCACAAGCGGAGGAACAUGUGGUUUAAUUCGAUGAUACGCGAGGAACCUUACCUGGGCUUAAAUGUAGAGUGCAUGGCUUGGAAACAGGCCUUUCCUUCGGGGACUCUCUACAAGGUGCUGCAUGGUUGUCGU